GCCCAGAUAGCUCAGUUGGUUAGAGCAUGGUGCUGAUAAUGCCAAGGAUGCCGGUUUGAUCCCCUUAGAAGACGGCUGCA